AAGUCUUUGGCGCGAAAUGGCCUGGAGAAAAAUGGUGAGACUGAAUCCCUUUCAACAUCGACCAGACGUUUUUAAUUUGCAUGAAGGACAACAAGAUUAAACAAUAUAAUUCUAAGGUUUUCCAAGUACUUUGGGGUGCAUCGAUUUUACACAUAUGCAUAUCAAGAAGCCAGUAGACCAUGUGGAAGACUACAUAGGGCGAAAGGGUGUUCCCACCAUCAACGUUCAGUGCCAGUUGGCCAGGGAGGACACAUGAUGCCAGGAUUUGGCGAAACUGUGAACUGAAACAGCAGUUUGAGAAUGGUCAACACGAUGGACUAUUGAUUGGCGACAGUGGGUAUGGUUGCUCGCGACAUUUAAUGACACCAUACCUUAGACCGGCAAAUCAAGCUCAAUCGUUCCCUGUGCAGAACAAGAGUAACAAUAGAACAAACUUUUGGAAUUUUGAAAAAUAGGUUUGGCAUACUCAGGAAAGUAAGAACACAUCCACAAAGGGCUGUAAAAAUCAUAAGUGCAUGCAUUGUGCUACACAACAUUGCAAUCAUUCACAAUGAACUGAAUGAGAUUCCAGAAGAAAAUCACAUUUUGCCCGUUAACAACAAUCAAGGCAAUGAUGAUGAUAACAUGGAUGGGAGGGCAAUGAGGGAUUACAUAACCAGGGCAUUUUUUUUAGGCUAUUUCUGAACAACAUAUUAAGUAUAUGUGAACUUGCAAAAGACAACGUAUACACUAAAUAUGGUUAUUUCAAAAUGUGAUUGUGCAAUAAAUCAAUGUCAUGUUUUUUUUUUAAACUUUGUUCAAGCACGCAUGAACACAUCUUCAUUAUUGAUGGAUAUAAAAAUGCAAACAAGCAUUACAUUUUUGUUAAAAUAAUUUAUAAUAAAACAAUAUUUUUUUUAUCUGUCUAUUAUAUUCAUGAGUGUUACAAAUUUCAAUGGGUAGAACUUUGUAAAAAAAACACUUUUAAAAUAACAGGUAGAAAUGUUGAUGACUUAUUGUAAAUUCACAUAACUGUAUCUAUGACUAUUCUGGAAUUUCAUUUAGGCCAUUGAAUGACGAAUGUUAUUAUUAUCAAUGAUUUAUAUCUUGUCAGCAAAUAAUAUCAAGGAGUGUCCCAAGCAUUCAACUAAUAUUCCUCUUUGAAUAUAUAGAAUCUACUUUAUCUUUCAGUAACAUAAUACAAUGACCAAUUUAAUAUUUAACCAACAUUUCUUCCAUGCACACAAUCAUUGACUGGAAUUUUAUAAGAACAAAAGGACACAAUCAUAUUUCUAUAUUAGAAAUAGAGUAAUGGAGUAGUUGCACAAAAAACAAUAUUUUUUAUUUUAAUACAAAAAGGGGCAUAAAUCUAAUAUAUUGCAUGUCGGAGUUAAAGCACUUGGUCACAUAUUGACCCUCAACACAUUUGUAUGUUUCAUUUGAAUACCUUUAUUAAAAGCACAUGUGGAUAGGUUCUUAUUUUUCUGGGUAUGCCAAACCUGUUUGGGUGAGUGGUAUACAAUAUCUACAUGCUGUUUAAAACUUUGCCAUUGUAGUAUAAUGUUUUUGCCUGUAAACAUAAGGCAUAUUGUUCAUUUUUAUGUCCCCCACUAUAGUAGUGGGGGACAUAUUGUUUUUGCCCUGGCUGUUGGUUGGUCUGUUGGUUGGUCUGUUGGCUGGUUGGUUUGCGCCAACUUUAAUAUUUUGCAAUAACUUUUGCUAUAUUGAAUACAGCAACUUGAUAUUUGGCAUGCAUGUGUAUCUCAUGGAGCUGCACAUUUUGAGUGGUGAAAGGUCAAGGUCAUCCUUCAAGGUCAGAGGUCAAAUAUAUGUGACCGAAAUCGCUCAUUUUAUGAAUACUUUUGCAAUAUUGAAGAUAGCAACUUGAUAUUUGGCAUGCAUGUGUAUCUCAUGGUGCUGCACAUUUUGAGUGGUGAAAGGUCAAGGUCAUUCUUCAAGGUCAGAGGUCAAAUAUGUGGCCCGUAUCGCUUAUUUAUGAAUACUUUUGCAAUCUUGAAGAUAGCAACUUGAUAUUGGGCAUGCAUGUGUAUCUCAUGGAGCUGCACAUUUUGAGUGGUGAAAGGUCAAGGUCAUCCUUCAAGGUCAGAGGUCAAAUAUAUGUGGCCCAAAUCGCUUAUUUUAUGAAUACUUUUGCAAUAUUGAAGAUAGCAACUUGAUAUUUGGCAAGCAUGUGUAUCUCAUGGAGCUGCACAUUUUGAGUGGUGAAAGGUCAAGGUCGAGGUCAUCGUUCAAGGUCAAAUAUAUGGGUCAAAAUUUCUCAUGUAAUGUCACUUCUGCAAUAUUGAAGCUAGCAAUUUUAUAUUUGAAAUGCAUGUGUAUCUCAUGGAGCUGCACAUUUUGAGUGGUGAAGGGUCAUGGUCAAGGUCAUCCUUCAAGGUCAAACGUCAUAUAGGGGGACAUUGUGUUUCACAAACGCAUCUUGUUUAUUUUUAAAUGAAGCAAUGUUUUUUCCAUUUGGAUUUUUUCAAUUUCUACAGUUUAUUUGUGUAUUUCAAGAUUCAACUUUUCAAUGUCCAGUGUCUGACAAAUCCAUUGCCCGGAGCCCGGGGGCUACCGAAAUUUUUCAUCGGGCUACUGAAAUUUUCCAGCUGACGCCCGCCGGGCUACUAUAAAUCUUUAAGAGCGGUAGCCCGGUUUAUUGACAGACAUACGUAGAAUAAACACGCUGACCAUGUGUUUGUACACUGUGUAUUGCUUAUAAUCCGAUAACAAAGUGCAAUCAAUUAUCUAAUCAGUCACCGAUCACUUGCGGUAAUGUCUUAAACAGUAACAGUGUAUUUUAAUCAUCCAAUCAGAAUCAACAUUUGUCGUCUGCUAAUAAUAUAAUGAGAGCCGGUUGGAUAGUUGGCGCACAUGAUGCAAUAUCAUUUCGCAGUUUGGAAUUCUUUGUUAACCGCAACAAUGAGUAAUAGCGACAAUGUUUUUGAUGUCGUUAAAUAUCCAAGGAUGCCAAACAUUAAAUAAAUCAAAACUAUAGUGGAUUCUUCAAAACGGUAACGAUACCGAAAACGAAUAUUAAUGACAACUUUGUGAGCGCUGUUAACACCUGCUAAUUAGUUUGCAUUAUCAAUUAAUAAUUUGAUUAAUCGACUUUUAAUCAAUAAUCCCAUAUUAUAUGCCCGAUUUAUAUUUUUAGCUCAUCUAUUUUUUGAAAAAAAAUUAUGAGCUAUUGUCAUCACCUUGGCGUCGGCGUCGGCGUCGGCGUCGGCGUUGGCGUUGGCGUCGGCGUCCGGUUAAGUUUUGCGUUUAGGUCCACUUUUCUCAGAAAGUAUCAAUGCUAUUGCAUUCAAACUUGGUACACUUACUUACUAUCAUGAGGGGACUAGGCAGGCAAAGUUAGAUAACUCUGGCGUGCAUUUUGACAGAAUUAUGUGCCCUUUUUAUACUUAAAAAAUUGAAAAUUUUGGUUAAGUUUUGCGUUUAGUUCCACUUUUCUCAGUAAGUAUCAAUGCUAUUGCAUUCAAACUUGGUACACUUACUUACUAUCAUGAGGGGACUGGGCAGGCAAAGUUAGAUAACUCUGGCAUGCAUUUUGACAGAAUUAUGUGCCCUUUUUAUACUUAGAAAAUUGACAAUUUUGGUUAAGUUUUGUGUUUAGGUCCAUUUUAUUCCUUAAGCAUCAAAGCUAUUGCUUUCAUACUUGCAACACUUACUAACUAUCAUAAGGGGACUGUGCAGGCAAAGUAAUGUAACUCUGACUGGCAUUUUGACAGAAUUAUGUGCCCUUUUUAUACUUAGAAAAUUGAAAAUUUGAUUAAGUUUUGUGUUUAGGUCCACUUUAUUCCUACAGUAUCAAAGCUAUUGCUUUCAUACUUGCAAGAUUUAUGAACUAUCAUAAGGGGACGGUGCAGGCAAAGUUAUGUAACUCUGACUGGCAUUUGGACGGAAUUAUGGGCCCUUUAUACUUAGAAAAUUGAAAAUUUGGUUAAGAUUUAUGUUUUGGUCACUUUACCCCUAAAGUAUCAUAGAUAUUGCUUUCAUACUUGGAACACUCACAAACUAUCAUAAGGGUACAGUAAAAGGACAAGUUGCAUAACUCUGGUUGUCAUUGUUACGGAAUUAUGGCCCUUUUUUGACUUAGUAACUUUUAAUAUAUGGUUAAAUUUUGUGUUUCGAUCCACUCGAAGUAUCAAGGCUAUUGCUUUCAAACUUCAAAUACUUACAUGCUAUCAUGAGGUUACUGUACCUGGCAACUUGAAUUUUACUUUGACCUUUGAAUGACCUUGACUCUCAAGGUCAAAUUAUUAAAUUUUGCUAAAAUUGCCAUAACUUCUUUAUUUAUGAUUAGAUUUGAUUGAUACUUUGAUGAAACUACUCUUACCUGACAUACCACAAUAGACUUCACCCAAACCAUCCCCCGUGCCCUCCCCCCCCUCC